ACCACCACUAACCUGGAUCCAGUACGUCCUGGCACCUCUUCUGGGAUACAUGGAUUUCUCUGUGGAGCCUAGGUGUGAAUUCCUGGGACCCUACUUUAAAUAUCGUGUGUACAAAUAUGUAGUCACUCGAGUGAUGAAGUUGAUCUGGAGAUUCUUCCUAAAGAAACGAACUAGCUGGUAUCGACACAACAAGCUCGUGUUUACAGCGUUUUUGGAGUUCCUGUCUUGCCUUAUUACGUUGGUUUUACCCCUGUAUAAAAUCUAUUUUUG